UACGUAGGGGGCAAGCGUUGUUCGGAAUUACUGGGCGUAAAGGGCGCGUAGGCGGCACGGCAAGUCAGGAGUGAAAGGCCUGGGCUCAACCGAGGAACUGCUUUUGAGACUGCCGAGCUAGAGUGCAGAAGGGGCAACUGGAAUUCCCAGUGUAGCGGUGAAAUGCGUAGAUAUUGGGAAGAACACCUGAGGCGAAGGCGGGUUGCUGGGCUGACACUGACGCUGAGACACGAAAGCGUGGGUAGCAAACAGG
rnacentral:rRNA from 1 species